GAUGAACGCUAGCGGCAGGCUUAAUACAUGCAAGUCGUGGGGCAGCAUGAAUGUAGCAAUACAUUUGAUGGCGACCGGCAAACGGGUGCGGAACACGUACACAACCUUCCUAUAAGUGGGGAAUAGCCCAGAGAAAUUUGGAUUAAUACCCCGUAACAUAACGAUGUGGCAUCACAUUGUUAUUAUAGCUUCGGCGCUUAUUGAUGGGUGUGCGGCUGAUUAGAUAGUUGGCGGGGUAACGGCCCACCAAGUCUACGAUCAGUAGCUGAUGUGAGGGCAUGAUCAGCCACACGGGCACUGAGACACGGGCCCGACUCCUACGGGAGGCAGCAGUAAGGAAUAUUGGUCAAUGGACGCAAGUCUGAACCAGCCAUGCCGCGUGAAGGAUUAAGGUCCUCUGGAUUGUAAACUUCUUUUAUCUGGGACGAAAAAAGGCUUUUCUAAGUCACUUGACGGUACCAGAUGAAUAAGCACCGGCUAACUCCGUGCCAGCCGCCGCCGUAAGAC
rnacentral:rRNA from 1 species